AACGAACGCUGGCGGCAUGCCUAACACAUGCAAGUCGAACGAGACCUUCGGGUCUAGUGGCGCACGGGUGCGUAACGCGUGGGAACCUGCCUUUAGGUUCGGAAUAACUCAGAGAAAUUUGAGCUAAUACCGGAUGAUGUCUUCGGACCAAAGAUUUAUCGCCUUUAGAUGGGCCCGCGUUGGAUUAGCUAGUUGGUGGGGUAAAGGCCUACCAAGGCGACGAUCCAUAGCUGGUCUGAGAGGAUGAUCAGCCACACUGGGACUGGGACACGGCCCAGACUCCUACGGGAGGCAGCAGUGGGUAAUAUUGGACAAUGGGCGAAAGCCUGAUCCAGCAAUGCCGCGUGAGUUAUGAAGGCCUUAGGGUUGUAAAGCUCUUUUACCCGAGAUGAUAAUGACAGUAUCGGGAGAAUAAGCUCCGGCUAACUCCGUG
rnacentral:rRNA from 1 species